rnacentral:rRNA from 1 species
CUACGGGUCGCAGCAGUGGGGAAUAUUGCACAAUGGGCGAAAGCCUGAUGCAGCAACGCCGCGUGAGGGACGACGGCCUUCGGGUUGUAAACCUCUUUUAGCAGGGAAGAAGCGAAAGUGACGGUACCUGCAGAAAAAGCACCGGCUAACUACGUGCCAGCAGCCGCAGUAAUACGUAGGGUGCAAGCGUUGUCCGGAAUUAUUGGGCGUAAAGAGCUCGUAGGCGGUUUGUCGCGUCUGCUGUGAAAAUCCGAGGCUCAACCUCGGACCUGCAGUGGGUACGGGCAAACUAGAGUGCGGUAGGGGAGAUUGGAAUUCCUGGUGUAGCGGUGGAAUGCGCAGAUAUCAGGAGGAACACCAAUGGCGAAGGCAGAUCUCUGGGCCGUAACUGACGCUGAGGAGCGAAAGCGUGGGGAGCGAACAGGAUUAGAUACCCCCGUAGUC